CAAGGCCAGUGUUGACGAUCAUCUCUCACACCCACACUCAAUCACAGCACGCCACCUGUCGUCGUAUCUUCACACUUUGUCUAGAACCCGAGCUGCUCACCUUAUCGAUGCCAUUUGAAUAUCAGUGACGGGAUAUAUCAGUCAGAAGUGAUAAAAGCGAGACAGAGCGGGUUUGUGGACUGUACUUAAUAAUAGCAUUCAGGAUGAAGUCGUUAGCGGUACUCUCACUUUUAGUCUUCUGCACACUAUCCCUUGUGGAUCAAGCCCGUCCCACCAUCCUGGGUACAAAAGAAGGCAGAGUCAAAGCCGAGUGCCAGAGAGGCUGCGAAACGGAAUAUAUGAGCUGCUUCUUCCCCUGUUACGAAAAAAUGGAGGACUUUAUAGGCUGCAUGGAGGAGUGUGUGAAAAUUCCAUGCAUACAAGAUUGCUGCGCGCGCAAGGGAUUCAAGGAUUGCUGAGUCAAUGCAGCAACGGAAGACCCCUUCCUGUAGCAGCGUGUCACGGAGUGAAUAGAUGGAUGUAUCCGAUUGGUUGAUCGGCAUCAACGGAUAUGACGUAGUUGGAAUCGUGUUGUGGUUGUUGUUUUCUGUAUAAGAAUUUUGUAAAUCUGAGGAUAUUUUGGAGUAACAUACUGAAGGCCAUGAUUUCCAUUUUGGGGGAUAGCUUCUUCUGAACAUUCAACCUCGAGGCGAAAGCCUUUUAGAUACUUUAGAAAUUUCAUUUCUACCGAAAACUUGAAGUUCCGAAAAUAACAAUUCUUCGCGCUGACCGAAAUUGGAAUAUGUCUUUCGUGAAGUAUUUGUGCACUUGGACAAAUUAGCGCUUUCUUUGAUUUAAAUGUGUCGAAAAAUGGAUUGUGAAAGAACGGAAUAUUUCGUGGACGAGAUAUUGUAAAAUAAUGAAAUAUGCGUCCGUGCACCUACGUGACGCGACCGGAGAUACCAUUCACGUUUCGCUGUAUAGUCAAGCAUUUAUGCACAAUUAACUUUAAAACUUCUUGUCAUAUGAUAUUUUCGUGCUAAAUUUACGCCCAAACUGAGAAAUAUCUUAAUAAAUAAUGUAUUUGGUCACCCUUCCACAUGCAUCUGAGUAUUUCUGUGAGAGACAAAAAACAGGUAGGUUGAAGUUUUAAAGAAUUUCGGAUGGUGCAACUCAGGUCAAUGAGCUUAAGAUAGCAGUCCACCCCGGUCUGGGCCUACUCAGGGUCCAGACUCAGUUGGGACUGCAACUUCGGAAGGGUUCAUUGGUCAGUAAUAAAACAUAUUUUGAACAAAUACGUUUAUCAACUAUUCAGGAUAGUCCAAAAAUGUACAAUCUAUGAUUUUAUGUUUGUCAAUAAUUAGUUACUUUCAUGGCAUUCGAGUGUGUCCUCGUCAAAAUAAUAAAUAUUUUUAAAAAUA